AGAUUCUGUCGAACUGACCGAACAAUGUCCUCAAGUUACACGCGGCGGCAGUACCAAAGUUGAAGCUCUGCUAGAUAAACGUAAUGGAGAUCGCACAAAAACCAGAACAGUUGAUGUGGCUGGAUCGAAAACUAUUGUUUCGUUUGUCAAGGAUGUCUGUGCUUCGAAUAAACUAAAUGAAGACCGUGGAACAGUUGAUGUGGCUGGAUCGCAAACUGGUUUUUCGUUUGGCAACAGCCUUCCUAAUUUUGAAAAGGAUG